AGACAUCACCUGAUUACAUAGGCUCCA
rnacentral:piRNA from 1 species